CGGGGCGUGGCUCAGCCUGGUAGAGCGCUUGAAUGGGGUUCAAGAGGUCGCUAGUUCGAAUCUAGUCGCCCCGA
rnacentral:tRNA from 1 species